AAUCCAUGGUGAGGGCAGUCACGUUCAUAUUCCUUAAAACGUUCCCAAGCUUCAUAGAAAGAUUCAGUUGGCCCUUGUUGAAUGGUUGAGAUCUUCGUUCUCAAAUU
rfam:Eutrema salsugineum unplaced genomic scaffold scaffold_3, whole genome shotgun sequence.